UACGUAGGGUGCAAGCGUUAAUCGGAAUUACUGGGCGUAAAGCGUGCGCAGGCGGUUGUGUAAGACAGAUGUGAAAUCCCCGGGCUCAACCUGGGAACUGCAUUUGUGACUGCACGGCUGGAGUGCGGCAGAGGGGGAUGGAAUUCCGCGUGUAGCAGUGAAAUGCGUAGAUAUGCGGAGGAACACCGAUGGCGAAGGCAAUCCCCUGGGCCUGCACUGACGCUCAUGCACGAACGCGUGGGGAGCAAACAGG
rnacentral:rRNA from 1 species